UACGAAGGGGGCUAGCGUUGCUCGGAAUCACUGGGCGUAAAGCGCACGUAGGCGGCUUUUUAAGUCAGGGGUGAAAUCCUGGAGCUCAACUCCAGAACUGCCUUUGAUACUGAGAAGCUCGAGUCCGGGAGAGGUGAGUGGAACUGCGAGUGUAGAGGUGAAAUUCGUAGAUAUUCGGAAGAACACCAGUGGCGAAGGCGACUCGCUGGACAAGUAUUGACGCUGAGGCGCGACAGCGUGGGGAGCAAACGAGG
rnacentral:rRNA from 1 species